AUGUGAUCGUCUCUCGCAUAUCAAUAAGCGGAGGAAAAGUAAACUAACACGGGAUUGCCUUAGUAACGGCGAGCGAACCGGGAUAAGCCCACCAUGAGAAUCGGUCGCCCUCGGCGUUCGAAUUGUAGUCUGGAGAAGCGUCCUCAGCGGCGGACCGGGCCCAAGUCCCCUGGAAAGGGGCGCCGGAGAGGGUGAGAGCCCCGUUGUGCUCGGACCCUGUCGCACCACGAGGCGCUGUCGGCGAGUCGGGUUGUUUGGGAAUGCAGCCCCAAUCGGGCGGUAAAUUCCGUCCAAGGCUAAAUAUUGGCGAGAGACCGAUAGCGAACAAGUACCGUGAGGGAAAGAUGAAAAGAACUUUGAAAAGAGAGUUAAACAGUACGUGAAAUUGUCAAAAGGGAAGCGUUUGACACCAGUGUUGUUUUUCUGAAAAUCAAUUAAAGAACUGUUUAUGCUAAGUUGUUUAGACUUUAUCAGCUAUCUGCUUAGUUUUGAGCUUUUCUUUAAUGCACUUUUCAGUUAACAAGUCAACAUCAAUUUCUUUUGCUGUAAAAAAGCUUGAGGAAGGUGGCUUGAGAUUCGUCUUAAGUGUUUAUAGCCUCUUGCCUAUGCAGUCGGAGAGAUUGAGGUCUGCAGCGUAGAUCCUUCGGGGCUAAAUGCAUUCGUGCUAAGUUAUAGCAUUUUAUAGACAACUUGUUGACUAUGAUUUGUCUUGUAGCUUACUCGCUUAUGUUAUUUUACCUACGCUUAGGAUGUUGAGUCGUAGAGCACGCAG
rnacentral:rRNA from 1 species